rnacentral:rRNA from 1 species
GACGAACGCUGGCGGCGUGCUUAACACAUGCAAGUCGAACGGAAAGGCCCUGCUUUUGUGGGGUGCUCGAGUGGCGAACGGGUAAGUAACACGUGAGUAACCUGCCCUUGACUUUGGGAUAACUUCAGGAAACUGGGGCUCAUACCGGAUAGGAGCUCCUGCUGCAUGGUGGUGGUUGGAAAGUUUCGGCGGUUGGGGCUGGACUCGCGGCUUAUCAGCUUGUUGGUGGGGUAGUGGCUUACCAAGGCUUUGACGGGUAGCCGGCCUGAGAGGGUGACCGGCGACAUGGGGACUAAGAUACGGCCCAGACGCCUACGGGAGGCAGCAGUGGGAAAUAUUGCACAAUGGGCGGAAGCCUGAGGCAGCAACGCCGCGUGCGGGAUGACGGCCUUCGAGUUGUAAACCGCUUUCGCCGUUGACGAAGCGUGAGUGACGGUAAUGGGUAAGGAAGCACCGGCUAACUACGUG